rnacentral:rRNA from 1 species
CAGCCGCCGCGGUAAUACAGAGGGUGCGAGCGUUAAUCGGAUUUACUGGGCGUAAAGCGUGCGUAGGCGGCUUCUUAAGUCGGAUGUGAAAUCCCUGAGCUUAACUUAGGAAUUGCAUUCGAUACUGGGAAGCUAGAGUAUGGGAGAGGAUGGUAGAAUUCCAGGUGUAGCGGUGAAAUGCGUAGAGAUCUGGAGGAAUACCGAUGGCGAAGGCAGCCAUCUGGCCUAAUACUGACGCUGAGGUACGAAAGCAUGGGGAGCAAACAGGAUUAGAUACCCGAGUAGUCCCUGUCUCUUAUAC